rnacentral:lncRNA from 7 species
UCAGGCUCAGCCACAAGCAGCCCUAUCAGAGCAGUCCAGCAGUGGCUGCCCCUGUGUGGGUACAUCCUGCUGCUCUGUACUCACAAGUAGGGAGCUCAGACUCUGUGCAAGACUCCAGCAUUUUCCACAUUAUGUAGUGUCCUGCACUUCUUCCCAGGUUUCCUCAUUCUGCGCCUUGGCCUUAUCUCUCAUAAUGUGGCAGCUCCAUGAAGGGGUUAACCAUGCAACUGUUCAGGAGCAGGAAGGAAGCAGGUAGAGAUCCCAUUUCCCAUCUCUGGGCGCUGCCAGGCAUGGUCACAGGGAGGAGAAGGAUGUCCCUCGGCGGUGGAAGCAGCAGGAUGGAGCUCUGUUGGGGCAGAGUGAGAUGCCAAGGAGAAACACUGCUUGCUCAUAAUCUUCCUAAUGAGCAAUGCUUCAUGUACAAUGCUCAUAAUGCUGUCAAGAACUCUGUGGGACUUGUUCUGUUUUGGUGGUUUAUGGACAGCAGAGUUGAAAAGGAAACAAGUGCCAGCAGGCAGUGUUGUUUUCCAAACAGUCCAAGUGUGAAGUAUGUGAGCUCCAUAUAUCAUUCCAGCUGAGUCUUUGUGGAGGCUGACCUCAUGUUUCACCAUUUUUUUCACUUUUUAGUUUACAGUUUUCCAUGACUACACAUUGCCUGCUGGAACAAGCAUUUCUAAAUCGGAAUAUCUAAACAUGCACAAAUGAUGAAUUGCUCUAUUUGUUCAAGAGACAUUUUUGGAGGGAUAUUUUAAUUGCAACUAAUAAGAGGGGAAAAAAAGGCUAAGCAUUUGUUGCAGGCAUUCUUUUUAAGCAAAAACUGUGUUGGGAUCAUUAGUGAAGGCAAUAGAUGCAAAAAUAACUCAGUAAACAACAGUAUUAUGAAUUUAUCCUUUGUGCCAGAGGAUGCUAAUUU